UGGACCCUGGUCCAGGUGGCCACCAGCCUGGAUGAAUCUUGGUCCAGGUGGCCACCAGUCUGAUGGCCACCAGCCCAGAUGGACCCUGGUCCAGGUGGCCACCAGCCCAACAGAUGCCCUGAUGGACACUGGCCCAGCUGUACCCCAGCCUUGAAGGCUACCAGCCUGGACAGAUCGUGGCCCAGGUGGCCACCAACCCAGAGGGAUCCUGUACUGGCCCAACUGGCCCAGGAGACCAUCCCCGUAGCCACAAUAAAGUCAGUGCCAGGACAUCA